UUCAUAAUCUCCGGUUUACCAACUGGGACAUUGAUGGGGCAUUUUACAGCGCAGCCUUCGCUACCCUCGUGAAAUAUUAUAAUCACAUAAAAUGUUAUGCUGUAGGAUUGUAAGUAAUAUGGAGCCUGCUCUUGGCAUCUGUGCCUUAAUCAGCUCUUUUCAUUGCUUCACUGCCCAUUUACGAGUCCUCAGAAAGCUUCUUUCCACAUGAAUAGGGGUGUGGAGUUGAAUGAGCCACACCCGGAAAAGACAUGCUCAUUUCCAAUUCCAGUUCAACAACUCACUGACGGUGGUGUCAGGAAGCUCUCUUGACUUCCCUGUGCUCUUUUUUUGUUUGUUUGUUUUUGCGGUACGCGGGCCUCUCACUGUUGUGGUCUCUUCCGUUGCAGAGCACAGGCUCCAGACGCGCAGGCUCAGCGGCCAUGGCUCACGGGCCUAGCCGCUCCGCGGCAUGUGGGAUCUUGCCGGACCGGGGCACGAACCCGUGUCCCCUGCAUCGGCAGGCAGACUCUCAACCACUGCACCACCAGGGAAACCCCUUGUGCUCUUAUUUAAUCGGCAUUUCCUCAGACUCCAGAGCAAUCAUUUCCAUCAUUCAGCUUCCUCUGCUCGCAGGUUCCCCCGGAGAGUGCUUCCUCAAUAAAUCAUGUGCACAUGAAUCCUUAUCUCAGGCUCUGCUUCCAGGCAACCAGACCUAGGAUGGUGACCCUACCCACUGAUUCAGCUACUUCUAUCUUUGCUCUGGCUGUGCCCCAUCCUGGACUUCUCUGACGGCGAUACUUUGGGGGCCAGAAAGGUCCAGAAAGGUUCUGUAGCCACCAAAGUGGCAGAAAAGCAUCGUGUGUAAGGACUCAGUAAAUCAGUAACUGUUGCACCCCUGUUGGACU